CCUACGGGCGGCUGCAGUGGGGAAUAUUGCACAAUGGGCGCGAGCCUGAUGCAGCCAUGCCGCGUGUGUGAAGAAGGCCUUCGGGUUGUAAAGCACUUUCAGCGGGGAGGAAGGCGUUAAGGUUAAUAACCUUGUCGAUUGACGUUACCCGCAGAAGAAGCACCGGCUAACUCCGUGCCAGCAGCCGCGGUAAUACGGAGGGUGCAAGCGUUAAUCGGAAUUACUGGGCGUAAAGCGCACGCGGGCGGUCUGUCAAGUCGGAUGUGAAAUCCCCGGGCUCAACCUGGGAACUGCAUUCGAAACUGGCAGGCUAGAGUCUUGUAGAGGGGGGUAGAAUUCCAGGUGUAGCGGUGAAAUGCGUAGAGAUCUGGAGGAAUACCGGUGGCGAAGGCGGCCCCCUGGACAAAGACUGACGCUCAGGUGCGAAUGCGUGGGGAGCAAACAGGAUUAGAUACCCGAGUAGUC
rnacentral:rRNA from 1 species